rnacentral:rRNA from 1 species
GAUGAACGCUGGCGGCGUGCCUAAUACAUGCAAGUCGAGCGAACAGACGAGGAGCUUGCUCCUCUGACGUUAGCGGCGGACGGGUGAGUAACACGUGGAUAACCUACCUAUAAGACUGGGAUAACUUCGGGAAACCGGAGCUAAUACCGGAUAAUAUAUUGAACCGCAUGGUUCAAUAGUGAAAGACGGUUUUGCUGUCACUUAUAGAUGGAUCCGCGCCGCAUUAGCUAGUUGGUAAGGUAACGGCUUACCAAGGCAACGAUGCGUAGCCGACCUGAGAGGUUGAUCGGCCACACUGGAACUGAGACACGGUCCAGACUCCUACGGGAGGCAGCAGUAGGGAAUCUUCCGCAAUGGGCGAAGGCCUGACGGAGCAACGCCGCGUGAGUGAUGAAGGUCUUCGGAUCGUAAAACUCUGUUAUUAGGGAAGAACAAAUGUGUAAGUAACUAUGCACGUCUUGACGGUACCUAAUCAGAAAGCCACGGCUAACUACGUG